rnacentral:rRNA from 1 species
UGGGGAAUUUUGCGCAAUGGGGGAAACCCUGACGCAGCAACGCCGCGUGCGGGAUGAAGGCCUUCGGGUUGUAAACCGCUUUCAGCAGGGAAGAUUGUGACGGUACCUGCAGAAGAAGCUCCGGCUAACUACGUGCCAGCAGCCGCGGUAAUACGUAGGGAGCAAGCGUUAUCCGGAUUCAUUGGGCGUAAAGCGCGCGUAGGCGGCUUAUUAAGCGGAAUCUCUAAUCCGAGGGCUCAACCCCCGGCCGGAUUCCGAACUGGUAGGCUUGAGUAUGGUAGAGGAAGAUGGAAUUCCCGGUGUAGCGGUGGAAUGCGCAGAUAUCGGGAAGAACACCAAUGGCGAAGGCAGUCUUCUGGGCCAUUACUGACGCUGAGGCGCGAAAGCUAGGGGAGCGAACA